UAGUCAAACGGGUGAAUGUCAAGGAAAUGAGAUUUUCGCUACCCGUCUUGCCGACUAAUAUAAAAGGUGCGGCUACCAGCGAAGGUGUAUGUCAGUUGCAUCGUUGAGCAUAUAGGAUGAACAAGCUGGUUGUGUUUCUCUUUGCCGUCGGCCUCUUAGGCGGAGCUGUGGCUGGUGGGUUUGGCGGCCAUGGCGGUGGCCUCGUUCUUGGCCAUGGGGGAUUUGGCGGUGGCCAUGGCCAUCAGGUGCAUGCCCUUCGAGGACCGACAUAUUUGGUGAAAACCGUUCAUCACGUGCAGAAGCUUCACGGCGGCGGCGGACACCUUGGUGGUUACGGGCAUGGUUUCAGCGGUGGCCUCAAGGGAUUCGGCGGCUUCGGAAGUCACGGUUGGCACGGGCGAUAGAUGAACAAAGACAUGGGAAGUCCUCUUGCAGUGCCCAGUUAGACGCCGUCUUUCUUAAAGACUCAAGGAUGAAGGAUGGUGAAAAUGGAGGAUGCUGAUUUCGUGUACACACUUCUUGUAAAUAAACAUACCUCACACCUCUA